GCGGCCAAAUCCUAUCACCGCCCCAACUCCGGCAACCGAGAUCAUGUUGGCCACCAUGGAAGGCCAAGGACUACUACGAAGAGGGCCACGCGCCAGGAGGACAGCGGCAACGCCCCGACAAACAUGCUGCUGCUACCCCCCGUGAGCGAGGUUCAAAUCAUAUUUGGGCACCAAGCUGCUGCUUAUGGAACCAUACCAGGAGGUGGCGGCCAGCCAGGUGAGGAGGAGGCUGACUUCAUCGGUGACAUCUGCAAGUGCCGCGGGGAGGUGCUACAGUCGCUGAUGAUCGACGGCAUCUAUUGACUUGGUCUCCGGAAAGAGAAACUCACCGACGAGGAGGUGCGCCGUUGUCGUGACAAGGAUGCUGAACUGCUGCUUGUUGCCUACACCAUCCGCGUUGAAGGCCUCCUGAAGCUCUUGCCUGUGCUCACUGAUCCGACCUGGCACAACUCCGAUGGGCUGCUGUUGCCAAUGACUUGCAGCUGGUUCAAAUCAUAUCAGAGGAUGAGAAGGAGAGACUCAAUGGCGUUGCAAGAGGAAGUCUCUACGGUGGCCGCCAAUCAGCUAUGAGGUCUUCAUCAAUAGCAUCUCACCUACCAGGAGGUUACCGCCGCCACCAACCGUCCAUUCUUUGUGUAGGUUCAGUGCACGCUGCCAUGCUUGUUUGGGUUUAACUGAAUCUGUUGCAUGCCCUCAUGGUUAUGAAUGAAUGAAUAAAACUGAAUAGCCGCUUGAUGCAAUCCUCUCUUUCUUGGACAACUCGCUUUUGGGCUCUGAAUUUUGUCAGCACUGUCGGUUACAACUCUUAUAUGAAAUGGCUAGAACAACAUAUGAUCGUCAAUGAGUUUCCACUAUAAUUUCUCCAACUGUAAUUUGCCGGAUUAGUAAAGUUGCAUAUCUAUGAUAUCUUUUAAGUUUGUUUCUUCUUGCACUCGAUAAUCAUGUUUAGAAUUUAAUUGCCACCAUUGUUGAGGUCUCUCUUCACCACCUCCUCCAUGUGUUGCUCUUUUUUUUUUCCUGUUGAAAUGUGUACGGUGUUGAAUGGAUGAACAUGCAUUGUGUGCUUAGGCAGUGGGUCUGCUGAUUUUUUUUGCUGCU